AUAUAGCAUGAGCUUAAAGUAUGGCAACUUGGUAUGAACUUUGAACUCUUAUUCACUAAAGAAGUGAUACCUCCUAACCGUUGUGUUAGCGCAGCAACUGUAGACAUGGGCUAGGAGAGGACGGACAGAGUAACUGUUCUACCACACGAUGACGGUACUACCAAGUAUCCAUUCUACCACCAGACAUUCUUCAAAGGACAACCCGGCCUCCCAUCUACGACCAACCGAACGAAGCGCAGCUCAGAGUGACAGUUUUGAUACUCACCACUGCAURCUGUAUCAAAACGUUGGCUGGACUUCGCUAAAGACCCGUAGAUCUCUACAUUACUCCCUUUUUGUUUACAAGGCCCUACUUCAUAAACUUCUGUCUCAUCUAACUUUGCUGUUGAAGUAUAGAAACUUGAAUUGCCUAACCCGUUCACAGGAUUGGUUAACUAUUGAGGUUCGUAGGGUUUCCACCGAGCUAGGUAAAUCUGCUUUUAGUUUUAAUGCACCUUAUUGCUGGAACAAAAUUCAAAAUACAUUUCAUGUUGAUGUUCUGGGGCAGUUUGGGCAAUUAAAAGCAUUGACUGGGGA